CAAUAGCUCAGUCGGUAGAGCGCACGGCUGUUAACCGUUAGGUCCAAGGUUCGAGUCCUUGUUG
rnacentral:tRNA from 1 species